rnacentral:snRNA from 2 species
AAAGUGACUAGUUACGACGAUGAUGUCUACUAAUUAACCAUCUUUCGGGACUGAUA